rnacentral:lncRNA from 1 species
UUUUCCUUUCCUAAUAGCAGACAUUCCAGGAGAAGUGAUAAAAGGUAGUACAUAGAAAGCUUAUAAAACUUCUAACUAUUCAAAGCUGAAUUUAAUAGAAAGGUCCAUCACAGGACCUAUUGCCUGCAUGUGCCAGGGUGGCUUCUGCAGACAGCAGAAAUUGGAAAUACAUUCGGAGGCUGCUUUUCAAUGCUCCCAGCCUAUAAAAGUCAGUUGCUUCCUUCCACACUGGAGGAGGUGGGGUGGGGGCAGUUAAGAUGUGGCUAAAAGAUGCAAAAUCUCCUGCUUCCCCCGCCCUUCUGCCCCACCACAGGCAUUUACUUCGGCUCUGAAGUAAAUUCUAACACAAGGAUGUGUUGAGAGGUCUGAACAGUCAGAGAAUUAAAGUCAUGUGACUAGCAUUAAUUUUUGUGGCUUUCCUUGCUCAGUUGUCCCUUAGUGAGAGCACACAUGGCCUUGUAGUGACAGGCCCUACUUUUCUAGGAUAUGUCACGGUAGGUGAGAAUAAAANNNNNNNNNNNNNNNNNNNNNNNNNNNNNNNNNNNNNNAGUGGUUUUAUAAGCAAUCCAGAAGAGAGAGAGCUUACUGUUGCUUUCUGCAGAGGGAGGACCCCAAGCCCUAUCAGAGGGAGCAAAACCAGGGUGUAAAAAGGCGCUUCCCUGGGGUGGGGGCAGCUCUGAGAUAAUGUCCUAGGAAGGCUGUCUCUAUCUACUCUCCUCAACAGCAGGAGGCAGAUAAGAUUAUGUGACACAUUUAUGUGAAGUCUCCAACCUGGAGCCCAGGAUCCUCUCUUGUCUCCUGGGAAGUUUCUACUUUUUCAUGAUCCCUCUGAACAUCUGGGAAAAUACCUUUUAUCCUCAAAUUCCCCAUGCAGGACAGAAAAAGCUGGGAGCUUACUUUUCACAAUUUCUGUUUUUUUCAGAGGGUCCAGGUUUUGCAAUUGAUUAGUUAGGUGGAUGGAUGGAUAGAUAGAUAAAAUAGUUAAUUUGCUUAAGAUCAGGAAUUAUUCUAUUUGAAGAACCCAUAAUCCUGGUUCCUAGUUUUCUAGUUAAAAUGUAAAUGAGUAUUUUAAUCUGGAUAUUCAUACUAAAAGUGUACAUGUCUUGGUUUUCCUUUUUACCACAAUUUUAGCCUCUCAAAUAUGGAGGAAUUACCCUGUCAGUUCAAUUUCUUUAAGAGGAGCUACUGAAAAUGAGAAAAUGUGUCCUUUUGUCUGCCUAUGUUUUUUAGGAUACUGGUAUAAAAGCAUAGAAGAUACUGCAUUUUAUAAACAUUCUACACAUUUGCAAAGUUCAUCACUUUUUUUGUUUCUACAAAAAUUAAGCUGCAAUAGAAAGUACUGUUCAGAAUGUACUUGAAACUAUUUAAAAACUUUACAUUCAGAAGUCAUUAUUACCUAGAAAUAUUUGUCUCAAGAUUUGAAUAAUUAUGUUUUCCUGAACCAUAGCUCUAGUCAACCCCUUAUUGAAUUCCACUUUCUUUUUAGCCCUUAUUUGAAUAUUACAUCAAAUUCAUAUUUUCCUAGCCCAAGGUGAAAAAGUUUGAAAAUGUCAAUAAACUAAUUUACCAUAUAGCUUUUUAAAAUAAUUGUAUUACAUGGGCUUAUGAACUUGAACGGGUUUAAAAAGCUGGAAAACUCAAUGGAAAUAUCUACUAUGUGCUUUCGAAGUGGACAUUCUAUGAAUAAAGAAGAUGUGAUAUAUACAGAUAGAGAUAUAUAAAAAUAUGAAUAUUACAUAACCACUAAAAAGAAUGAAGAGUUCCCGUCGUGGCUCGGUGAUUAACAAAUCCAACUAGGAACCAUGAGAUUGCGGGUCCGAUCCCUGGCCUCACUCAGUAGGUUAAGGAUACGGUGUUGCCGUGAACUGUGGUGUAGGUCACAGAUGCAGCUUGGAUCCUGCGUUGCUGUGGCUGUGGUGUAGGCCGGCGGCUACAGCUCUGAUUAGCCUGGGAACCUCCAUAUGCCUUGGGUGUGGCCCUAAAAAAGACAAAAAAAAAAAAUAAAAAGAAUGAAAUCUGCCAUUUGCAGCAACAUGGAUGGACCUACCUAAAGAUUCUCAUACUAAGCGAAGUAAGUCAGAAAGAGAAAGACAAAAAAAAAAACAAAAAAA